rnacentral:lncRNA from 1 species
AGAAGGGCUAGCCCGGAGACAGGAGGGGGAGGUCCGAGGAGGGGAUCCCGGCGAGGGAGACGCGGGGCGAGUGGCCUGGGCUCCUCCUUGGCUUGACCCAGCUUAGACUUUCUCAAACCGAAGUCAUUCUCGCUGGCUCCUGGCGACUCUCAUCCUGUCCGCUGUCACCCUUUCGUGAUUGACCUGAAAUCACUUCGUCACUGCAGCCGCACCCUAAGCAUUCAUCUCAUAUCUGUGAUGUUUGCUGUGCUCCUUAUGUUUGCUCUAAUAUGGGUUAAACCAAAUUCAACACCAUCAAAAUAAUGUUCUUCCAUUUGCACACCCACUUUCACAGUAGCAGCGUUCCCAACAGCCAAAAGGUGGGAGCAGCCCACGGGUCCACGGACGGGUGAAGGGGUGAGCAAACAGUCUAUACGGACAGUGGAGAGCUCUUUAACCGCAGAAAGAAGGAAAUUCUGCAUAUGCUGCAACAUGGAUGAAAGACACAGAGUCUGGCUCUGGGGCCCAGGCUUGAGUGCAGUGGUGAGACGGGAGAAUAAGUCCUAGAGGAAGGGAACCUGAGGACUUCCCAGAACUAAAUCAGAUGGAGAGGAGAGAGGAGGCAUUUCAGCUACGACAGGAAAUAUCCUCUUCAUUUGCAUAGGGCGUUCACCAAGGUGCACACCAAAUAACCAAUGGAAACCUCUAGAGAGUAUUUAAACUCCAGAAAAUUCUGUGACGGGCUCUUGAGCCAACGUGCUCCGGCCGCUCCCACUCUGUGCAGUCGACUGUACUUUUGUUUUCAAUAAAACUCUGCUUUUGUUUCUUCAUUCUUUCCUUGAUUUGUUUAUACGUUUUGUCCAAUUCUUUGUUCAAGACACCAAGAUCCUGGAAACCCUCCAACGCUAACAGUGGCACGAUCACAACUCACUGCAGCCUCUCCUGGGCUCAGGUGAUCCUCCCACCUCAGCCUCUCAAGUAGCUGGGACUACAGGCCCACACCGCCAUGCCCGGCUAAUUUUCGUGCUUUUUGUAGAGAUGGAGGUCUCCCUCGGUUUCCCAGGCUGGUCUCGAACGCCUGACCUUGUGAUCCGCCCGCCUCAGCCUCCCAAAGUGUUGGGAUUACAGGUGUGAACCACCGCGCCCGGCCUGGACCCUCCAUUUCUUUUUUUUUUUUGAGACAGAGUCUCGCUCUGUUGCCAAGGCUGGAGGGCAGUGGCUCUAUGUUGGCCCACUGCAAGCUCCGCCUCCCCGGUUCACGCCAUUGUCCUGCC